AUGCUUCGGCUCCGAAGCUGCACCCUCACCCAGCUCCUCUCUUCUCCCUACACCUCCCAUGUCUCUCCUCUCCACCGCCUCCUCUCCGCCGCAGCCGCCUCCGGCAUUUCUCCGGCAGCUUCCCCAGGCUUUGCCGCCGAGGAGUACCUCGUCUCCGCCUGCGGCUUGACCCCAGCCCAGGCCCUCAAGGCCUCCACCAAGCUCUCCCACCUCAAGUCCCCCGCCAAGCCCGACGCCGUCCUCGCCUUCCUCGCCGGCAUCGGCCUCUCCGCCGCCGACGUCGCCACCGCCGUCGCCAAGGACCCGCUGUUACUCUGCGCCGGCGUGGAGAGAACCCUGGCCCCCGUCGUCGACGGGCUCACCGGCCUCGGCCUCUCGCGCUCUGAGGUCGCGCGCAUCACCGUGCUCGUCCCCGGCAGCUUCCGCUGCAGAUCCAUCGUCUCCGCUCUACACUACUACCUGACCCUCUUCGGGUCCAUGGACAACUUGCUCCGGCCGCUCAAACGCGGCUUCUGGCUAUAUGGUGCUGACCUCGAGAGCGUGGUCAAGCCCAAUGUCGCGGUCCUGCGGGAGUGCGGGCUACAUGAUUGCGACAUUGCCAAGCUGUGCAUCCGUGUGCCAAGGAUCCUCAAAAUCAACCAGCAGCGCCUCCGGGCGAUGGUGGCAUGCGCCAAAGUUCUGUGUGUGCCACAUGGCCCUGGGAUGUUACGAAAAGCGUUGGAGGCUGUCGCCUUCUCUGACGAGGAGAAGAUCGCCACCAAGGUGGAAUACCUGAAGAAGACAUUUAGGUGGUCAGAUACUGAGGUGGGCAUUGCUUUGCCCAAGAAUCCGAUGCUGCUGAGGUCUUGCAAGGAAAGGCUGCAACGUGUCGCAGAGUUCCUCAUCUCCGAGGUGGGGUUGGAACCAGGGUACAUUGCUCAUCGGCCGGCGCUUCUCACUUACAGCCUGGAUGAUCGGCUCAGGCCCCGGUACUAUGUGUGA
rnacentral:rRNA from 1 species